GACGAACGCUGGCGGCGUGCCUAACACAUGCAAGUAGAACGCAGUUGCGAACGGGUGAGUAACGCUUAGGUAACUGCCCCAUAGCGGGGGUUAACUUUUUGAAACGAAAGCUAAUACCGCAUACUGUGAGAUGGACCUGCGUUGUAUUAGCUAGUUGGUGAGGUAAAGGGUCACCAAGGCGACGAUCCAUAGCCGACCUGAGAGGGUGAGCGGCCACACUGGGACUGAGACACGGCCCAGACGCUUGCGGGAGGCAGCAGUCGGGAAUCAUCGGGAAUGGACGGAAGGGUGACCGAGCAACGCCGGGGGAGUGAAGAAGGUUUUCGGGUCGUAAGGCUCUGUAAUGAGAGAAGCGGUAACUAAACAGUAAGGGACGGCUAACUACGUGCCAGCAGCCGCGGUAAUAC
rnacentral:rRNA from 1 species